UACGUAGGGUGCAAGCGUUAAUCGGAAUUACUGGGCGUAAAGCGUGCGCAGGCGGUUUUGUAAGUCUGACGUGAAAUCCCCGGGCUCAACCUGGGAAUUGCGUUGGAGACUGCAAGGCUAGAAUCUGGCAGAGGGGGGUAGAAUUCCACGUGUAGCAGUGAAAUGCGUAGAGAUGUGGAGGAACACCGAUGGCGAAGGCAGCCCCCUGGGUCAAGAUUGACGCUCAUGCACGAAAGCUGGGGGAGCAAACAGG
rnacentral:rRNA from 1 species